rnacentral:rRNA from 1 species
AUCGUACGGGAGGCAGCAGUGGGGGAUUUUGCACAAUGGGCGCAAGCCUGAUGCAGCGACGCCGCGUGAGGGAUGGAGGCCUUCGGGUUGUGAACCUCUGUCGCCGGUGAUGUAGGCUCUGCUUUGUGGGUGGGGUUGACGGUAGCCGGGGUAUGAAGUGCCGGCUAACUACGUGCCAGCAGCCGCGGUAAUCGAU